UACGGAGGGUGCGAGCGUUGUCCGGAAUCACUGGGCGUAAAGGGCGCGUAGGCGGUCGGGUAAGCGUGCGGUGAAAGCCCGGGGCUCAACCCCGGGUCGGCCGUGCGGACUGCCCGACUGGAGCACUGUAGAGGCGGGUGGAAUUCCGGGUGUAGCGGUGGAAUGCGUAGAGAUCCGGAAGAACACCGGUGGCGAAGGCGGCCCGCUGGGCAGUGGCUGACGCUGAGGCGCGACAGCGUGGGGAGCAAACAGG
rnacentral:rRNA from 1 species